rnacentral:rRNA from 1 species
UACGUAGGGAGCGAGCGUUAUCCGGAUUUACUGGGUGUAAAGGGUGCGUAGGCGGUUUGGUAAGUCAGAAGUGAAAUUUUGGGGCUCAACCCCAGAGCUGCUUCUGAAACUGCUGAACUAGAGUGUGGGAGAGGAAAGUGGAAUUCCGAGUGUAGCGGUGAAAUGCGUAGAGAUUCGGAGGAACACCAGUAGCGAAGGCGGCUUUCUGGACCAUAACUGACGCUGAGGCACGAAAGCGUGGGGAGCAAACAGG